rnacentral:rRNA from 1 species
UACGUAGGGGGCACGCGUUGUCCGGAUUCACUGGGUGUAAAGGGUGCGCAGGCGGUCUCUUAAGUCAAAGGUGAAAUCUCUCGGCUUAACCGAGAAAUUGCCUUUGAUACUGAGAGCCUUGAGUACGGGAGAGGGAGAUGGAAUUCCAGGUGUAGCGGUGAAAUGCGUAGAUAUCUGGAGGAACACCGGAGGCGAAGGCGGUCUCCUGGCCCGUUACUGACGCUCAGGCACGAAAGCGUGGGGAGCAAACAGG